UUCGUUCAUUGAUACCUCAGCCAGCCGUUCCUACCUCGUGCCCUCAGGCUUAUGGCCGCAAUCCAAUCAGAGGAUCCCCUCCGUCUCCUCUUCGCUCGCUGUUCCGCGUAUUUUUUCUCGUGCAAACAACCGAGGGAAAGGAAACUGGAGAGAGCCUAGGUCUGGAGACGAGGAAGGCGGCGGGGAGCAUGUCGGAGGGAGAAGAAGACUGCAUAAGUUGUCUAGCUACCACAUACAGCUUGUGAGAAAUCCCCAAUCUUACUCGGCCCCUUCCUCGCUGAAAUUUGGAGCGCUUCCUCUCCUAUUGACUGACCCAGUUGGAUUUGAUGGUGGCUUCCCCGACUCCAUGACAAGCAGCAGUAGCGGCGCCUGGCCGCCAUCCCCUUCUCCGUGGGGACUGGCAGCAGCGGCAUCCAUCUCUCUCUCUCUCCAACGCCUGUGCGGCCUGCUCCAUCGGCUAAGCUUAGCGCGAAGGACGGUGGCAGCGGAGGAAGCCCGCAGCAAGAGCACUGCGAAAUGACUGCAGGUGGACUGUGACUACGGAGAUUUGGUUACCUUUCGUCUGCUCUUCAUUUAUUGGUUCUUUCCUAUGUGCCUCAAGAACUGAUGAAGCAGAUCUGCUAACCUGGGAAUUUGGAGAUCCGAUUCAAGGGCUCUCUUUGAAGUUGACUUUGUUUUCAUUGACCGCUAGGUUAGUACUAAAUUUCACCAGUUGCAGCAGAGUAUACAUCUCCAUGGUUUACUUUGGGUCUUUUAUGAUUUAUGCAAUGGUCGACUGAUAUUCCCAACAAUUAAUAUUUACAAAAUAGCACAGUGGAUAGACUAUUGGUUGACACUGGACAUUUCAAUGCUUCAUAGUUCAUAGUCCCAGCUAUUUAAUCAAAAUUUGAUUUUACUAAAUUCAGGCUUUGCACACUGGGUUAAUGUUUCAGUUGUAGCGUAUAGUUGCCAUACCAUACAUUAUAUAAAAGCUAAACAUUUUACUAUCUCCAUAGUGAUGCAACCACUGUAGAAGUGCUAUUUUCGUCUCCCUUCUUUUGAUCAUGGGAUGACGCGUGUCUUCUUUUCAAUUAGCUGUUGGGCUGGCUUAUGUAAUUUUCAGUUUCACAAAAAAAAUUAUAAUUUUUUGUUCCCGGUCUCUUCCGGUUCCGGUUUCCUUCUAACGUUGCUUCUUUCUUUCACGUGGUAAUUGUUGACCGGCUUCUGGUUGUUUCCAUUCUCCACCGCUGUACAUAUUUGGCAAGCACGAGAAAUUUCUGGAUUAGGGAAAGGAAACUGGAGAGAGCCUAGGUCUGGAGACGAGGAAGGCGGCGGGGAGCAUGUCGGAGGGAGAAGAAGACUGCAUAAGUUGUCUAGCUACCACAUACAGCUUGUGAGAAAUCCCCAAUCUUACUCGGCCCCUUCCUCGCUGAAAUUUGGAGCGCUUCCUCUCCUAUUGACUGACCCAGUUGGAUUUGAUGGUGCUUUCUUCUCUUUCUCUGGUUCCUCGGAUUUGCGUAUCCUUUCUCUUUCUUUUGAAUCCUGCAUCACUUCCUCUCUCCUCUUGCAAGGUGGCUUCCCUGACUCCAUGACAAGCAGCAGUAGCGGCACCUGGCCGCCGUCCCAUUCUCCGUGGGGACUGGCAGCAGCGGCAUCCAUCUCUCUCUCUCCAACGCCUGUGCGGCCUGCUCCAUCGGCUAAGCUUAGCGCGAAGGACGGUGGCAGCGGAGGAAGCCCGCAGCAAGAGCACUGCGAAAUGACUGCAGGUGGACUGUGACUACGGAGAUUUGGUUACCUUUCGUCUGCUCUUCAUUUUUUGGUUCUUUCCUAUGUGCCUCAAGAACUGAUGAAGCAGAUCUGCUAACCUGGGAAUUUGGAGAUCCGAUUCAAGGGCUCUCUUUGAAGUUGACUUUGUUUUCAUUGACCGCUAGGUUAGUACUAAAUUUCACCAGUUGCAGCAGAGUAUACAUCUCCAUGGUUUACUUUGGGUCUUUUAUGAUUUAUGCAAUGGUCGACUGAUAUUCCCAACAAUUAAUAUUUACAAAAUAGCACAGUGGAUAGACUAUUGGUUGACACUGGACAUUUCAAUGCUUCAUAGUUCAUAGUCCCAGCUAUUUAAUCAAAAUUUGAUUUUACUAAAUUCAGGCUUUGCACACUGGGUUAAUGUUUCAGUUGUAGCGUAUAGUUGCCAUACUAGAGUGGCCAGCUUCUUUUGCUUCUUUCGCGGAUCACAUGUUAGAUAUGACUACACAGCGGAGAUUUUUUAGAACGACUAAUGCUGUAUGGUUGUUCAUAGAACUGUGUCCGACUUCUUUUUAUUUCUUUCGCCAGAUUGCAUUAUCCAUUUUGUUUAGGUCAGAUGAUUUUGCAUAUGUGGAUGCCUGCUGAGUGCCACGAUGGAAGAGUCAGUCCCUGGUUACCGGGUGGAUCAAUUCAGGCACCAAUUUAAGGAGGACUCCAUCUAGACAAUAGAGCGUUUUACCCUCUAUGAGGCGAAAAAAACAUAUAGAUAAGUCGACCACCCCUUCAGGACUGAAAGAAUAUUCACAUAGUGAGCAACUGGAAUAAAGCAAAACAUUAUGUUUUCAGAUCACGAAAUAAAUCAUUGGUUUAGGUAUGAUAACCUCACAUGCAUACAAUGAUUUUUCCACUAACAUGAUAUGAAUUGUACAUGCCUGGUUUGGUUCAUGUAGUCAAUGUUACACCUCUUUCAGGGCAGCUGAAUAGGAAAAAUUUCACAUUUACAUCACGUAUCGGAGGUUCUGGCAAUUAGUGGUUUCCAAAACAUGUCAUGGUUACAUAUUUAUCAAGUACAGUGCUUUAUGCAAGAAAGCAACCAUCGUUGCAUGGGGUGAGCAUGCCAGUGCGCUGUUGGCGUAUUGGCAAUCUAUAUAUUGAAGUACUUCAAAAUAAACUUGGUGCACAUCUACAUUAUGUUUCCAAAGUAGUUUUUACGACUUAAAACUGAACUGCCAUUUUUAUCUAACUUUGAACCGCAAGAGCAUCGGCAACUUAGAUCUCCUUCUCUCUCAUCUAUGCAUGUAAAUGGUGUUCUUCUCUUUUUUAUUUUACUCUGCCUACAACUGAACCAUCUAUGUACUGUGAGGUCCCUUUCCCAUGGAUGAUAUAACUCAAUUGCGCAUCUGCGGAGUGUCUGCUUUCUUGACUAUUCCAGGAAUGAUACACACCGAGUAAUAGAGAUAUGGCAGGUAUGUUGAUUAAUUCCUGCAAUCAGGGUCAUGUCAAAUAUUCAUAGCUGGCAAGUGGAGUAUAGGGACAAAGCGGCUUAUACCAACUAGCCAACCUUCUAUAUAUAUGGUUGUUUUGGUAUUUUUCUAAUACACUGAUUUUAUCUAUAGAUAAUGUUAGUCAUAUUUUUGGUUGUUCAGGGACAUUAAAAAUUGAGUGUAUGCACAACCUACCAUUUUUCCCCCAUCUUUAGUAUUUAAUUUAGUGGUCAACCCUUAGUUGCAUACUCCAUAUCGUGUUUAUGUGAUGCUGAGGACAGAGGUAGAUAAUUACUUAAGCGAUCUGUGACCACUGAUCUACCUGAUGAUCCUGCAAGAAGCCACAUGCCCACUCAAGACGUCCUUGAACCAAUCAACCCAGACCUAGGCUGAGGUACACUCCCACACUGACACUUCUCAUACUGCUUAUAGCUAAUCCAGCGUCAAUAGACCAUCCCCCACCUCAUAUUUUUCGUAUACAUGGAAACAAACCCGGCAACCGACAGCAAAAUAAGGUAAAAUACAUGGCGCGAUCAACUGGAUCGGUGAAAAGAAGGCAUACAUUUACAAAUUAUGUAUGAUUGCACCAGUGUCUGAAUCCAUAUAUUCGUUGUUUGCAAUGCAGGCUGCGAGAAGAGAAGAAAUAGACCAAAGAAUUGCUCCCAGAUAAAUAAGCCAUCGCCCUUAUCCAGGUAUGAAAGUUAAUAAAGGCCAUGGGACUGCAAGAACUAGCCAUCCAGAGAACUGUAUUGAAGAUGUCAUUUUCUCUGCCAUGGCCCAGCCCCAACACAAAUGUAGGAUAUGAGCCACCCUUCCAGCAGCUCUACAACAGAGUGAACCGACCAUUAUGGGCUACUCGCUACUGUAAUAUUGAGUACCUCAAAUAAAGUAUUAUUAAGUGGUAUGUAUAAUUGCAGAUCCCUCUCUUAGUUUUACCAUCACACCUGCUAGACUAAGCCAUCAUUCUCUCCUCCAACGAUAGAAGUGACUACUGAUGUCUUAGAAAGUGGCAAAGCUAUACAUAUUACCAUCUUACUUUACUGAAUCCUUCAUGUUUUGGCUAUCAA